CCGUUAAUUGAUUAUGACGUAUUUGUAAUGAUUGAGAUUUUAACUCGAAUUGAGUGGCGAACGGGUGAGUAACACGUGGGUAACCUGCCCAGAAGUAGGGGAUAACACCUGGAAACAGAUGCUAAUACCGUAUAACAGAGAAAACCGCAUGGUUUUCUUUUAAAAGAUGGCUCUGCUAUCACUUUUGGAUGGACCCGCGGCGUAUUAGCUAGUUGGUGAGGUAAAGGCUCACCAAGGCAGUGAUACGUAGCCGACCUGAGAGGGUAAUCGGCCACAUUGGGACUGAGACACGGCCCAGACUCCUACGGGAGGCAGCAGUAGGGAAUCUUCCACAAUGGACGCAAGUCUGAUGGAGCAACGCCGCGUGAGUGAAGAAGGGUUUCGGCUCGUAAAGCUCUGUUGUUAAAGAAGAACGUGGGUAAGAGUAACUGUUUACCCAGUGACGGUAUUUAACCAGAAAGCCACGGCUAACUACGUGCCAGCAGCCGCGGUAAUACGUAGGUGGCAAGCGUUAUCCGGAUUUAUUGGGCGUAAAGCGAGCGCAGGCGGUCUUUUAAGUCUAAUGUGAAAGCCUUCGGCUCAACCGAAGAAGUGCAUGGAAACUGGAGAC
rnacentral:rRNA from 1 species